AAGGCCCACUAUGCAACUUUUUUAGCCAAAAUUACAUUAAUUAUGCUGGUUGAGAGUUAUUCUGAUGGUUCUGCAACCAUUUCUGGGUCGUUUGGUGGGUGUGUCAUUGCCCCAUGUCACCUCUCCAAGGAAAAAGCGCAUAUGCAACUUGCUCUGUUCGGACCGACACAAUCCGGAUGUGACGCAGCGGAAGUAUCCAAUCGCGCCUCGAAAAUGUAGUCAGAUUGUAGUUUCGAAAAUGCUUUACGGCACAGACACACACCCAAACAUGGCACCGGCUAGAUAUAAACAGCCAGUUGCGAGGCAAUUGUUGCAUUCAUCAUGGAUCAAUCGACUGAUAAGAGACCCAAGAGGCGACUGUCGGUGGAACAAAAGAAGAAUGGACCAGAAAAGAGAUCAGACACGAGUGAAAUGGGAACUAUGCAACUUUUUUGGCUUGAUUUACCUUAAUAUAACAGGCUAAGAGUCAUUGCGAUGGUUCUAUUAUACAUUUUUGUUCGAUUGUUCGUUGUUUCGACUCCCCCUUGCGUAUCUUGGCGGAGCAAAGGAAUAUGUUUCUGCCGGCGACCCGCCGCCCACUCUCGCGGGAGUCUCGGGUCUCGCAAAGUAACGAAUUGCUUUACGGCACAGACCCCCAAACACGGAACCGGCUCGAUAUAAACACAAGGCAUAAGGGAUUGUUACAUUCAUCAUAGAUCAGCCGACUAAAAUGAGACAGAGAAACCCAAUGUCGGAGGAACAGAAGAAGAGAAAAGGGAGACUGACCGACAGAGAGGCCAGACACGAGUAAACGUUGGGCAAGCUUUUCAGGAAUAGCGUGAACUGAAAGAAAAAGAAGACUGCAAAUCAGACGCCGACUUGGCCGUGUUGCUUUUGAAAUUGAAAGUACCCUUGGGUGAACUUUGUCUUCGUGGUAUUCUUGAUGUUGAUAGUCUCUGUACAAAUGUGUUUGCUCAACAAUUUUGUCGUGAGCCCUGUAAAAAUAGUUUUCUCGACCGUAUUGUUGUGAGCCCUGUAUGUUUCUAGCUUGCUUGGUUGCAACCAUAUAAACACCUUUGUUUCCAUG